UGCACUCAAAGUCAAUGCCAUCGUGCAGGGAGUCAACAAAGCAGUUGGCUGAUCCCAGUGAGGACAGAGAGUGUUUGGCCAUGUCUGCUCCGUUCAUCAGCUUCAUCAUCGCCCGAGCAUUGCUGCUUAUAUCAUGCUUAAAGGUGCUACAAACAGAGAAAAAUAACAUGAGGAUGGCUACGAGGAAUCAAACACAAACAAGGUCCUUGAAUGACCGCCUUGUCAAGCAUUCAAGUCAAGAAUCCGGCUACCAAUGAUUCUUCGAAAUGUCUUCGUGGAGGAAGAGGAAGAUUCUGCCCCUGGGUGUCAUGUAGGGAGUGCUGCUGGGGUUCCAGGGGUGUGACAUAUUUGCUUAUAUUCCUUAAAUAUUGUGUUUAAUCCAGGUCUGCUCUAAAUAAUUACAAAUCUAUUGUAUUUGUUUGUUAACUGUACA